rnacentral:rRNA from 1 species
CCUACGUGUGGCAGCAGUGGGGGAUAUUGCACAAUGGGGGGAACCCUGAUGCAGCGACGCCGCGUGGGUGAAGGAGCGUUUCGGCGCGUAAAGCCCUAUCGGCAGGGAAGAAGAUGACGGUACCUGACCAAGAAGCGCCAGCUAACUACGGACCAGCAGCCGCGGUAAUACGUAGGGGGCAAGCGUUAUCCGGAUUUGCUGGGUGUAUAGGGGGCGCAGACGGGCAUGCAAGCCAGGAGUGAAAGCCCGGGGCCCAACCCCGGGACUGCUCUUGAAACUGCAUGGCUGGAGUGCAGGAGGGGAAGGCGGAAUUCCUGGUGUAGCGGUGAAAUGCGUAGAUAUUAGGAGGAACACCGGUGGCGAAGGCG